rnacentral:miRNA from 1 species
UCUGGGGUCUUGGGCCAUC